AGGGGAAAAGGAGAAUUAAGAGCUCUAAGGAGUGGCCUGGAGACCCCAGGAUUCGAUAAAGACUUUGGUAAUGUUGAUUUUGCUCUACAGGAGGUUGAUACCAGUAUGUUUGGACAAUAUGAAGCUGGACCAACGUCAACAGUAAGAGGCAUUGAUAAUCCUGUAUAUUCAGCUCCAGCACAGUUACCCAUUGACGG